AUUGAACGCUGGCGGAAUGCUUUACACAUGCAAGUCGAACGGCAGCACGGGAGCUUGCUCCUGGUGGCGAGAGGCGAACGGGUGAGUAAUGCGUCGGAACGUACCGAGUAAUGGGGGAUAACGCAGCGAAAGCUGUGCUAAUACCGCAUACGCCCUGAGGGGGAAAGUGGGGGAUCGCAAGACCUCACGUUAUUCGAGCGGCCGACGUCUGAUUAGCUAGUUGGUGGGGUAAAGGCCUACCAAGGCGACGAUCAGUAGCGGGUCUGAGAGGAUGAUCCGCCACACUGGAACUGAGACACGGUCCAGACUCCUACGGGAGGCAGCAGUGGGGAAUUUUGGACAAUGGGGGCAACCCUGAUCCAGCCAUUCCGCGUGAGUGAAGAAGGCCUUCGGGUUGUAAAGCUCUUUCAGCUGGAACGAAACGGU
rnacentral:rRNA from 1 species